rnacentral:ncRNA from 1 species
ACAAUGAAGAGUUUGAUCCUGGCUCAGGAUGAACGCUAGCGGCAGGCUUAACACAUGCAAGUCGAGGGGUAACAUUGUAGCUUGCUACAGAUGACGACCGGCGAACGGGUGCGUAACGCGUAUAGAAUCUGCCUUGUACAUGAGGAUAGCCUUUAGAAAUGAAGAUUAAUA